rnacentral:rRNA from 1 species
UACGUAGGUGGCAAGCGUUAUCCGGAAUUACUGGGCGUAAAGCGCAUGCAGGCGGCUACUUAAGUCUGACGUGAAAGCUCCUGGCUUAACUGGGAGAGGUCGUUGGAAACUGGGUGGCUUGAGGCAGUGAGAGGGGUGUAGAAUUCCCGGUGUAGUGGUGGAAUGCGUAGAUAUCGGGAGGAAUACCAGUGGCGAAAGCGGCACCCUGGCAUUGGCCUGACGCUCAUGUGCGAAAGCGUGGGGAGCAAACGGG